UCCUACGGGGGGCAGCAGUGGGGAAUAUUGCACAAUGGGGGAAACCCUGAUGCAGCAACGCCGCGUGAGUGAUGACGGCCUUCGGGUUGUAAAGCUCUGUCUUCAGGGACGAUAAUGACGGUACCUGAGGAGGAAGCCACGGCUAACUACGUGCCAGCAGCCGCGGUAAUACGUAGGUGGCAAGCGUUGUCCGGAUUUACUGGGCGUAAAGGGAGCGUAGGCGGACUUUUAAGUGGGAUGUGAAAUACCCGGGCUUAACCUGGGUGCUGCAUUCCAAACUGGGAGUCUAGAGUGCAGGAGGGGAAAGUGGAAUUCCUAGUGUAGCGGUGAAAUGCGUAGAGAUUAGGAAGAACACCAGUGGCGAAGGCGACUUUCUGGACUGUAACUGACGCUGAGGCUCGAAAGCGUGGGGAGCGAACAGGCUUAGAUACCCUGGUAGU
rnacentral:rRNA from 1 species